ACAUGGCAGGGAGGUUUAAUAGACAUGGAUAAGAAGUCCGCUCACAGAAAUCCUGAAGAUGCCAAGGCUGGCAAAUAUGAAGGUAAACACAAACGAAAGAAAAAAAGAAAGCAAAACCAAAACCAGCACCGAUCCCGACAUAGAUCAGUGACAUCUUUUUCUUCAGAUGAUCGUGUGUUUCCUUCUUCUUCAUCAUCAUCUUCAGGAAGCCAGACGGAUUCGAGUACUGAAGAUGCUACCCAGGGAAAAAUUAAGAAGAAGAGAAGAGAGAAAACAAAUAAAUGGAGGGGAAAAAGAAAGGACAAAAUAUGA
rnacentral:lncRNA from 1 species